ensembl:lincRNA
UAACUUUCCACUGGGUUUAACAUAGUUUGAGUUAAUAUUGACUCUAGGAGUCCCAGUACUUAAGUUUCCUCUCACUUCAGCCUCUCCCAUAGCUGGGACUGUGGGCAUGUGUCAUCAUGCCCAGCCUGCCUGAGGGAAACCGGAAAGGGAAAGCUGCUUUCUUGUUACAGAGCUCUGUCAUUGGCUUGUCUUGGACACCUUAUUCUCUCUGGUGCAGGUCCUGCACAGCCACUGCUGUCUCUGUCACCACCAUCCCUGAAGAUGACCACACCACCAUCUUGGGUGCAUUGUAUGCUUCCCAUUUUUUUGUGUGGAUCUGGUCCAUUAAGAAGACUGAAAUGUGCAUCCUUUGGGUGUGCUUAACACAAAGCUCUACAAAGCUCUCCAAGGUUAGUCUGCCAGACUGUGUCUCCUGUGGAUGAAAUUGGCUGCACUUGAAUGAGCAAUGAUGUAUGAAGACCUUUAAAAAGAACAGGACCCAUGAUAGAACUUGAGCACUAUUUUGAGCAUUGAACCCUUUGUGUUGCAAUGGAGAAAACUCCACCAAGUCAAAUGAGAGCACAAGUAUAUACCAUCGAGCUUUAUCUAAGCAGCAAAGAUAUACAAAGAAGAAUAUAUAUGAGCUUAUAUAAUGAAGUUUUAGUGGGCUUUCAUGAACAAGUCAAGCCAAAUCAGUAAGUAUUUACUGAGGAGUCUAUACGUGCAAAAGUGUUGAUGAAAAUGUUAAAUUUACUGUUGAACUUAGAAAGAUAUUCCAUUCACUAAGAUAUAUUCCAGCAUCCAGGGUUGGCCCCAGAGGACUUGAAGGAAAUGGUAUGGUCCACUGUGACAUGGUCCCACUGGACUCUACCAUCAUUAAAGUACCUUGGGAGUCCUAUUGGAGCCAUUAGGGAAAGAUCAGAAGUGAGACUAAAGCAGGAAAUUUGCUGUGAAAGGCCUGGUCUAAAAUAUCAAAUGGUUGACCUAAGGCAUUUUUUCCCCAAAUUGAAGUUCACUAAACCAAUUAGUGAAUCACAGCCUUACAUAUUUUUUAAAAUAAUAAAUAUAGAACAUGGUUUUCUUUAAAAAAAAAAAAAUAAACACAUCACAAAUAAUAAGCCUAAACUUGUUUCAUAAAAUGUGCAUUAAAGUUCGGAGUGGGUAAACGUAGUGGAAAACGUGUGUUGGUUGUUACAUGAAGCAUUUUCUGACCCUGAGGAGUGACCCAAAAACUUUGAAAACCUUUGUAUGAAUGAUUUAAUACUUUUACAACACAUAUCCCACAGUUCUCAAAUUUUUAAAUUUCUUUGAUUUUUAAGUUAACUUGUAUAUGAUUUUUUAAAACAGACUAUUUUAGAGCAGUUUUGCAUUUGCCAAAUUGAGUAGAAGUUAUGAGGAUUUCCAUAUGCUUCCUGGUCCCCACACUGGCCAUUAUCUACAUCUUUCACCACACUGAUACAUUUCAUUUGCUACUUUUGGUGAACGUACAGUGACAUUAUCACUAAGUCCAUAUUUUAUAUUAAGGUUCAGUCUUGGUGUGAUGUGCUUUAAGAAUUUGGAUAAAUGUGUAAUGACAUAUAUGCACAAUUAUAACAUCACACAGAGUAGUUUCACACUGUACUCUGCCCAUUUAUCUCUCCUCCCCAGGCCCUUUUUACUGUCUCGACAGUUCUGUCUUUUCCAGAAUGUCAUAUAGUUGGGAUCAUGCAGUAGACAGUCUUUCCAGAUUGGGUUCUUCCACUUACCAGUAUGUUCUCUUAAAGUUCCCUUGUAUCUUUUCCUGUCUUGAUAGCUCAUUUAUUUUCAGUGCCCAAUAAUAUUAAAUUGGAUCUACCUCAGUGUAUCCAUUUACUUGCUGCCUUGGUCCAUUUUAUAUCAAAAAUAUAACAAAGCGUCUAAGACUGGGUAAUCUAUAAUGAAAAGAAGUUUGUGUUAUUCCAGUUCUAGAAGCCAGCUUGGGCAACCAUAACUGAUAAGAGGCUUUCACUGGGUUAUGACAACAUGGAAGAUGGCACCACAUGGCAGGAGAGCUCGCCAGAACAGCAAGUGGCAGGUGCGAAAGAGAGAUCAUGCAGUGAGGGAGGAAUCAAGAAAGACACAUUUAGUCUAUAAUAAUUCACAUUUGUGGUAAAUAAUCCAAUCCCACACACCUGACCCACUUCUGUGAUCAGGGCUUUAAUUCUUUCCAAGGGUACUACCUCCAGUGGCCUAGUUAACUUCUGCUAAGAUCCCACCUCUUAAAGUUUUCAAUAUCAUUACAUUGGGAUCAGCUUCAACAUAGGUUUUGCUGCUGAUAAAACAUAUUUAAACCAUAGCAUCUGCUGAAGUACAUCUUGGUUGCAUCUACAUUUUAGCAAUUAUGAAUGCAUAAGCAUUCACUGAUAUAUCAUCCUUUGUUUCUGUGCCAUACUUCUAUGUUGUUUUAGGAAUGUUUAUGUUCAUUCUACAUGCAACCGUACAAGACAACUUUUGGGGGAAAAUACUGGUGACAAAGAGCAACACCAUUGUAUUUCUUAUCCUACUGUGCAUAUAAUUAUUUUCACAACAUUCA